rnacentral:rRNA from 1 species
GACGAACGCUGGCGGCGUGCUUAACACAUGCAAGUCGAGCGAGAAAGCUCCUUCGGGAGUGAGUACAGCGGCGAACGGGUGAGUAACACGUGGGCAACCUGCCCAGGGGAGCGGGACAACCCGGGGAAACCCGGGCUAAUACCGCAUAACGCGUCAUGUCAUAAGGCGUGACGCCAAAAGGUAGCUUCGGCCUCCGCCCUUGGAUGGGCCCGCGGCGCAUUAGCUUGUUGGUGGGGUAACGGCCUACCAAGGCGACGAUGCGUAGCUGGUCUGGGAGGACGAUCAGCCACACUGGGACUGAGACACGGCCCAGACUCCUACGGGAGGCAGCAGUGGGGAAUCUUGCGCAAUGGGCGAAAGCCUGACGCAGCAACGCCGCGUGGGGGCAGAAGGCUUUCGGGUUGUAAACCUCUUUCAGGAGGGACGAAGCUUCCGGGGUUAAUAGCCUACGGGGUGACGGUACCUCCAGAAGAAGCCCCGGCUAACUACGUGCCAGCCGCCGCCGUAAAAC